UACAAGGUGGUAACUGGUAGAGAACGUGAAGGAUAACGUUGCGUUAGCAACGGCCCGAAGGGCGAGGCGAAGCCGAGUCAUCCUGCACGACCCACCA
rnacentral:sRNA from 1 species